rnacentral:misc_RNA from 1 species
CAACCAUCAAGCCCUUGCUUGUGUUGGGGCCCUGCGGCUGCCCGCAGGCCCUGAAAACCAGUGGCGGGCUCGCUAGUCACACCGAGCGCAGUAAUACAUCUCGCUUUGGUCGUGCGGCGGGUUCUUGCCGUUAAACACCCCCCUUUCCAAA